rnacentral:misc_RNA from 1 species
GAAAUGCGAUAAGUAAUGUGAAUUGCAGAAUUCAGUGAAUCAUCGAAUCUUUGAACGCACAUUGAGCCCGCCAGUAUUCUGGCGGGCAUGCCUGUUCGAGCGUCAUUACAACCCUCAGGCCCCCGGGCCUGGCGUUGGGGAUCGGCGGAAGCCCCCUGCGGGCACAACGCCGUCCCCCAAAUACAGUGGCGGUCCCGCCGCAGCUUCCAUUGCGUAGUAGCUAACACCUCGCAACUGGAGAGCGGCGCGGCCACGCCGUAAAACACCCAACUUCUGAAUGUUGACCUCGAAUCAGGUAGGAAUACCCGCUGAACUUAAGC